CUUUUCUUGUUUUUAUUUGAAGUAUGGCCUGCCCACUGAAGUUAAUUUAAUGGCCGCAGUAUUUUGACUGUGCAAAGGUAGCAUAAUCAUUAGUCUUUUAAUUGGAGGCUGGAAUGAAUGGUUAGACAAAAUAUUUACUGUCUUAUAUUUAUUAUAUAUAUAUUAGAAUUUAAUUAUUAUGUUAAAAGGCUUAAAUUUUUUUAUGGGACGAUAAGACCCUAUAGAGUUUAAUAAUAAUUAAUUUAAUUUUGUGUUAGUCAAUUAUUUUAUAUUAUUUAUUUUUUAAUUGGGGUGAUUUUUAGAUAUAAUAAACUCUUUAUUUUGUUUUUUACUUAUUUGUAAUUUAUUUGAUCNAUUUAUUUUCUUUUUUGAUUAUAAGAUUAAAUUACCUUAGGGAUAACAGCGUAAUCUUAUUUAAGAGUUCAUAUUGACAAUAAGGAUUGCGACCUCGAUGUUGGAUUAAGGUAAUAGUUUUGGGUGUAGAAGCUUAUANACUAGGUCUGUUCGACCUUUAAAUCCUUACA
rnacentral:rRNA from 1 species